rnacentral:rRNA from 1 species
ACACUCCUACGGGACGCAGCAGUGGGGAAUAUUGGGCAAUGGGCGCAAGCCUGACCCAGCGACGCCGCGUGAGGGAAGACGGUCUUCGGAUUGUAAACCUCUUUCAGCAGGGAAGACAAAAGGACGGUACCUGCAGAAGAAGCCACGGCUAACUACGUGCCAGCAGCCGCGGUAAUACGUAGGUGGCGAGCGUUAUCCGGAAUUACUGGGUGUAAAGGGUGUGUAGGCGGGGCUGCAAGUCAGAUGUGAAAAUUAUGGGCUCAAACCCUAACCUGCGUCUGAAACUGUAGCUCUUG